rnacentral:rRNA from 1 species
GACGAACGCUGGCGGCGUGCUUAACACAUGCAAGUCGAACGGAAAGGCCCUGCUUUUGUGGGGUGCUCGAGUGGCGAACGGGUGAGUAACACGUGAGUAACCUGCCCUUGACUUUGGGAUAACUUCAGGAAACUGGGGCUAAUACCGGAUAGGAGCUCCUGCUGCAUGGUGGGGGUUGGAAAGUUUCGGCGGUUGGGGAUGGACUCGCGGCUUAUCAGCUUGUUGGUGGGGUAGUGGCUUACCAAGGCUUUGACGGGUAGCCGGCCUGGGAGGGUGACCGGCCACAUUGGGACUGAGGUACGGCCCAGACUCCUACGGGAGGCAGCAUUGGGGAAUAUUGCACAAUGGGCGGAAGCCUGAUGCAGCAACGCCGCGUGCGGGAUGACGGCCUUCGGGUUGUAAACCGCUUUCGCCUGUGACGAAGCGUGAGUGACGGUAAUGGGUAAAGAAGCACCGGCUAACUACGUG